GACGAACGCUGGCGGCGUGCUUAACACAUGCAAGUCGAACGGAAAGGCCCUGCUUUUGUGGGGUGCUCGAGUGGCGAAAGGGUGAGUAACACGUGAGUAACCUGCCCUUGACUUUGGGAUAACUACAGGAAACUGGGGCUCAUACCGGAUAGGAGCUCCUGCUGCAUGGUGGGGGUUGGAAAGUUUCGGCGGUAGGGGAUAGACUCGCGGCUUAUCAGCUUGUUAGUGGGGUAGUAGCAUACCAAGGCUUUGACGGGUACCCGACCUGAGAGGGUGACCGGCCACAUUGAGACUGAGAUACGGCCCAGACUCCUCCUGGAGGCAACAGUGGGGAAUCUUGCACAAUGGCCGGAAGCGUGAUGCCACAUCCCCACGUGCGCCAUGACGUCCUUCUUGUUAAAAACCACUUUCGCCUGAAACGAAACGUGCGUGACGGUAAUGCGUAAAAAAGCACCGGCUAACUACGUG
rnacentral:rRNA from 1 species